UCUCUCUCUCUCUCUCUCGGCGUCCACCAACACCGUGACAUUUUCGGGCUGGAAAUCCGAAAUUGUUUUAAAUGAAAAGGGAAAAACGACUUAUUUCGUCGCAUUUUAUCAAGUGAUGCAUGACACAGUUUGUUAUUAUUACAGCAUUUUCAUCGUUAUGCUGUUAUUGUUCGAAAAUAUAACAUUGCCACGACAAUGGGGCCUCUCCAGCACGACUCUUUAAACGGACCGAACAAAAUGAAACAAACGAAACACACAAAAAAAAUUUAUAAACGCAUAUUGAGUAACGACAACAACGACGACGACUGAUUUGCAUCGCAAUGAAUUUAUGUAUCGAAAUUUUUCGGUAACGAAUGGCAUUACGUUAUGAGUUUCCACUUAGUCACGCUUUUCACCCAUUAAACGUUGCGAUGACAUUGAUUCAGGUUCACUGGGUUUCUUGAUAUGCAUCGUUAAAAAUCAUCGCGACGACGAUAGUUGAAGACAUUUUUCUAGACAAUUAUUUCUUUUUGGCAAAACUUUCAAAAGACGCGUUCACUUCAGUUGCAGUCGAAAAAAUGUAGAAAAAAAAUGAUGACAUUCAUAUUCGUCCUUUUGCCCGUUUGCUCGUCCAACAGAGAAAAUUCCACCGCCAAACAGACAAACACAAGAAAUCACGUUUGCUAUCACCGAUAAAGAAUUUGUAUCGAAUGUUUGACAUUCUUGUUUGCCAAAAGAAUCAGAAAACUAAUGAAACGAGCAGUUUUAUGGAUGGCAAAAAUGAGCAAAAACACGAAAAUUGCAUCACAUCGCAUUUCAACGUGGUUUUGAAUUGAUUUUGAUUGUGUCGAUACGUUUUUCGAGUUUGUCUGUCUUUGUCUCCCUCUCUUGCUCUCUCUCUCUCUCUCUCUCUCUCUAUGUCUCUCGUUGUAUACAUUUGGGCUGGUCGCGAAUGAAAUAUUUGCACGCCAGCUGGAUUUUGCGAGCUGCGAAUAGAUUAAAUAUUUACCUUUUUUACGAUGGUUGUGUUUUGGGAUGCGCGUCGGUUUCACGGAAAUUACCCAAAAAAACUCAUUCUAUUGAUAAAGGUCUGUCCAAUUCUAUUGGCAUUCUGCUUUAUUUUUUAAAUUCUUUAAUUUACCUAGCAAUUUUUCAUGUGGCUUAAAUACGCAAAAGCAAUUUCAAAACAUUGAAAGAAUGAAGAGAAAGAAAAAUGUGGCCAUCGAGAGGGAGAGAGGAUCGGUUGUAAACGAAAAGAAGAUAUGUGUAAUAAAUGACCAAAAAUAUUGAAUGAGAGAAUGGCAGAAGAUUGAUGUAUAAGUCUCUAUCUCUCUCCGUGUGUUUUUUCUUCUCUUUUUCUUGAUUUCUGUGUUUAUUCCUUUCAAAUAACCCUGGAGACACUAUCAUUUCCAACCACAUCUCAUCGUAUCCUCUCGUAUUUAUGUUGUUGAAUAAACUAUCAUUUCGACAAGGAGACGAAAGAGCCAGGAACGCUCUCGUUUCAUAUUAGUCUUGUUAUUUUUGGACAGUGUAGAAAAAGACGAAAUCCUCAACAAAAACAAUAAAAUCUAUCAAGUUGCAGUGGAGGCCAAAAAGGCAGAAGAAACAAAAAUCCAAAAGUUAGAAUUAUAACGAACCGCCGAAAUUGCCGUUUUUUUUCGUUCAUUCUUUCUUUCUCUGUCUCUUUCAUCUCCCUUGAUCUGUGUUCGAAAUGUGAUCACGUCCCUUCUUUUGCUUGGCAUUUCCAAGAAAAUCAACGAAAUUGAGAAAUGGUUCAGAAUAAAUAAAAAAACAACGAACGAACGAACGAAAGAACGAAAGAAAGAAGAAGAACCUAUAACACAGCACACGAACAAAGAGAUGAAGAAAGAGAGCUGAAUGAUUAUAUGCGGAUGAUGGUAAUGCAACGAAGACUGCAGGGAAACAAGAUAAAAAUAACGAAUUAUGUGCACAAAUAUGGAGGAGAGCCGAAAAAAGAUCGAAACGACAGGGAGUGUGCGGGAGAGAGAAAGAGAAUGAACACAAACUUUGUUAUAAUAACAGAAUAGACAACAACAAUUUUCGUGUGCCGAGUUUUUUCAAGUCGCUCCUUCUCUCUCUCUCGAUGAACGAAAUUUGGAAAUCCUGAAAAUUCAGAAUGAUCGAGGAAAGGUCCAAACCAAGCAACAAAAAAUCAUAUGAAGAAGACCAAACCAGACUCUUUGAUGGCUUUCUCUCUCUCUCUCUCUCUCUCUCUCUCUCCAUUCUCCAAAAAAAGAUAAAUGCAUUCGACUAACAAUACAAUCGAUUCGAUGUGUCGACCUGACCAACGUAUCGAAUGACUUGCUUCGUUUCAUUUCAUUAAAAAAAAUACGAGGGAGAGAGAAGAGCCCGAAAAUAAACAACAUUCGAUGUCGAAGAUAAAAUAGAGCUGUGCAGCAACAGUACUAGAACUAGCGGCAGACACCACUCAAAAUUACGAAAUCCAACAACAACCUAUGUUAAUGCAUAACGAACUAAGAGCGACCAUUUAAAAGCGCAAUAACGAUAUUGAUCGAGAGCUGGCAUUGAUUUUAUUUUGAAAUGUAAUUAAAUACAAUGUUGCAACGAAGCGAACCAAACGGAGUAGAAGAAGAACAAGUGGACAGCAAAUACCCUGAAAAUUAUCGAAACAGGUAGAAUUUAAUGGUGUUCUUUUUCUUAGUCAACGUUAUUAGACUUUUCCCCAUUCUUCAGUGUGUUAAAAUUACAAACAUCUGGAUCUUAGUCACUGUUUGGAUGUGUUGAAAACAGAAAUGCUUUUGAUUUGGUAAUAACAUAAAUACUGGAUCGUAAAUAAGAAUAAGAACCAGCAGCGAAUAGGAUCAAAACAAAAAAAAAGAAAUACUAGAGAUUUAAAAAUGCACGUGCACACCAGAGACAAAAAAGAACGGAAUAGACACCAGAAUGAAAAAAAAUGUUUACAAAGAAAUCCAUCUUGUUGGGAGAGGGGAGAUUUUUCGCAUAUUUUCGUUCUUGGGACCAUUUUUGAGAUGAUCGAUACGGUCAUUUGCUGUUUGUCGAUUAUUCGGUACUAUACACCUACUAAUUCUUUUUUCUCUUCGAAAAUGAAACCACUCUCUAUGCUGUUGGUGUGUUUUAGCGUAGUUUUCGCUGAUCCAAAUCAUAGCCAUGAAAAACCAUCUGGCACAAAUCUAAAUGUUUACGUCCUUACUACUAACAAAAAAGGGUAUACGCCGCUUCAUGAAGCCGCCUAGGGGAAUUUCUCAUCGAAAAUAGUUUUGAAAUCUUUCAAAAUCUUCCACAGUUUCUGAAAUCUACGUAGUUUUGCCCAAAUUUAGAAAAUCCAUGCAUAUUUAGUGUUAAAAACAAGACAGUUCAGGCAAGAUCACCCGACGCCAUCUUGGAUUUCACAUAAUCCGCCAUCUUGAAAUCUCAUAAAAUUUAUAAAAUCUAUACAAAUCCACAUAGUUUCGAUAACUUUCACAUCUUCACAGUUUCAAACAUCUUCGAAAAUCUUCACAGUUUUUACGUGAGAAAUUCCCCUAGGAAGCCGCAGUUUCUGGAAACACAACGGCGGCCAAAUUGUUUCUGGAUGCUGGAGCUGAUAUAAAUGCUGAAUCAAACCUAGGAUUUACACCACUCUUCUUGGCUUUUGCUAAUUUCAAUGCGAAAAUACCUGGCGGAAAUAUGGAUAUGAUCGAACUGCUUGUUCAGAACGGUGCACGCGUUACUAUAAAUAAGGGAUUCAAAGCGCUUCGUUUCUUUCUGACACAUUUGUUAUGUAAAAACGAUAAAUUAUGUCGUUAGUGUCAUUCAUCGGCAUAGAUUUUGCUUAAAUUCGUGUAGAUUUGAUGUGUAGAUUGGACAGUCUGAGUGAAAUUGAAGACAUUUCAUCACACAAUUGGUCUCAGAGUGUAGUAUAACGUUUCAAAUGCGAACAAUUGUAAUUUUCUUUCGAAUAUGAUAAAUUCCGUAUAAUUUUAGAUCCAUUUUACAAAUAUUCUAUUGAGUUUUCCUUAAUUUUUUUUACAACAGUGUGUUAUAACUACGUUUAAAAUGAUCGAAAAUUUUCUAAUAAAAAGAUUAAUUAGCCUAAGCUGAGAGUUUAUGUGCAAAAAACAUCAUCUAAAUAAAGAAAAUUUUCGUAAAAAUUUGAAUCUGAUGUCAAACCAUACAGAGAGUGUUGAUUUUUAACAGAAAACAUGGAAAGUUUUGUACAUUGUAAGCUUUGCCAUUGUUGGCGUCAUUUCAGGAACCAGUACGCGUUAAAAGGUAAUCUUAAGCCAUUCGUAAG